rnacentral:misc_RNA from 1 species
GAUGAAGAACGUAGCGAAAUGCGAUAAGUAAUGUGAAUUGCAGAAUUCAGUGAAUCAUCGAAUCUUUGAACGCACAUUGCGCCCGCCAGUAUUCUGGCGGGCAUGCCUGUUCGAGCGUCAUUUCAACCAUCAAGCCCCCCGGCUUGUGUUGGGGACCUGCGGCUGCCGCAGGCCCUGAAAACCAGUGGCGGGCUCGCUAGUCACUCCGAGCGUAGUAAUACAUCUCGCUCAGGGCGUGCUGCGGGUUCCGGCCGUUAAAAGCCUUAUUUACCCAAGGUUGACCUCGGAUCAGGUAGGAAGACCCGCUGAACUUAAGCAUAUCAAUAAGCGGAGGA